AAGGGAGGCUUAUAUUAAAAGGUAAUGCCAAAAUCUUCAACAUCCAUAAAGGCACCUAACAAAUAUUACAUGGCCCAAGAAGGCCAAAGUUUUCUUUGCUAUAUCAACCCGGUGGCUAGUUUCUCCUCGUCAAUAGCCUCUGGGUUAAUCUUGGGGAGACAUCUUGGUUAAGCCGCAUCCGGGUUAUCCUGUGUCGGGCCUUCGUGGUCUUGGAUCCGGAAGUCGCCCGUGUCCCAGUUGCAAUUGAUUAAAGCAUGGAAUUCAGCUUCUUCCAUCAAGAUGGACCACAGAUCAGCAUCAGGGGCAAAGAGGUGCUUACGACGCUAAGGAGUAAGGUCCACUGGUGCAAAUGUGGGAGGCGGCACACUUUGUUUCUCUCAUUGUAGGUCGCGUGAUACUUGGUUAAAUCAAGACCUUUAGCAAGUUGACUCGCCGAUGGACAAGUCGCCUUCACACAACUGGCGUAGUCUUCUUGAGUGAAUUCUGAUCCAUCGUUCUUGUAU
rnacentral:lncRNA from 1 species